GAGUAGCUUUGGACCCGUGUCUGCCGGUAGAUCCCCCGUCUUCGUGCGGCCGACUACAGGCGCCGUGUCCCGUCAUUGGUUUGGCUUAUAUGCUGAUGUUGCCUUUCAAGUGCUUGCGUGCUGGUACCCGACCUACGGGAAGUGGUGCUUCUAACACGUUCGCCUCGCGGUGGACACCUUCGGGUGUGCCGCUGCGGCCUAACGGCGCUUGCGGCGUUUCCUCGUGGUUCUGGCACUCCUAGUGCUCGGUGCUACCAAGGCAGCCUCGCUCACGCUGUUGGUCUCGGAUGUUGCUCACGAUAAAGAGUCUUGGCCCUUUUGGUUGCCACGACCCGACCCUUAAGCUGCUCUCCGAAUUUGAGAACAACCGUGAACAGGUGUUGCCUCUACCUCUCCACAGUUAGUGGUAGGAUACGUAACAUUCUGCGCCGAUCCUCAAUCAAGUAGGAUGAGCUUAGCCCGCUCAAUCGUGACAACCGGCUCGGCCGUUGCCUUGGCCUUGACACGCAAGUGGAAGGGCGGACAAAGACCGACGCUGGACGUCAACGAGGACGUGCUACCUGGUUGAUCCUGCCA
rnacentral:misc_RNA from 1 species